rnacentral:lncRNA from 1 species
UAUAUAUAUAGUUUUCUUCACAUGAAUAAAAGAUCCAAUCCGCUGGGUGCGAUUGUUAAGGCAUGCUCGCUGUUCGUUGAAGUACUAGUCCUUGAGUGAUAUAAGUAGCCAAACUACAUUGUACUGUAUCAUAGUCUAUCAACACUGAUGUUUUGAGGUCAAAUCUGGAACGUAACAUGUGAGUUCGUAGAUUUAAAGUUUUCCUACCGAAGAUCGGUGGUUCUUUCCAGGCACUCUGGCCUUCGACACCAAUUUCCUG